rnacentral:tRNA from 2 species
GGAAGAGUGGCAGAGUGGUCAAAUGCACCGGUUUUGAAAACCGACGAGCCUUCGGGCUCCCAGGGUUCGAAUCCCUGUUCUUCCGCCA